UUUAAAAGCACUUUGAAAAGAGAGUGAAAAGAACCUGAAACCGCUAGGGGGGAAGCGAAUUGCGUUGAAAUGGGAGGAAAGUGUCGAUCAGUGGGUGAUUCCGCGUACUCUGCACUCUACUCUGCCGUCAUGGGUUUGUUUCGCGGUGGAAUUUGCACCGCUGCAGACUGAGGGGUCCCUUUUAUUAGGUGACGAUGAUGGUAUUUGACACGAUUCGACCCGUCUUGAAACACGGACCAAGGAGUCUAGCGUAGCUGCGAGUCAAAGGGUGUUUUAAACCUGAGGGCGUAGUGAAAGCAAAUUUCUUUAUGUACAAAAUGGUGCAAUUUGUGGCGGCAUACGAUUCUUUGAUCGUAAGUCCGACCUAGAGCAGUUAUGCUAGGACCCGAAAGAUGGUGAACUAUGCUUGAGUAGGGCGAAGCCAGAGGAAACUCUGGUGGAGGCUCGUAGCGGUGCUGACGUGCAAAUCGCUCGUCAAACUUGGGUAUAGGGGCGAAAGACUAAUCGAACCAUCUAGUAGCUGGUUCCUCCGAAGUUUCUCUA
rnacentral:rRNA from 1 species